AGUGAACGCUGGCGGUAGGCCUAACACAUGCAAGUCGAACGGCAGCACAGUAAGAGCUUGCUCUUACGGGUGGCGAGUGGCGGACGGGUGAGGAAUACAUCGGAAUCUACUUUUUCGUGGGGGAUAACGUAGGGAAACUUACGCUAAUACCGCAUACGACCUACGGGUGAAAGCAGGGGAUCUUCGGACCUUGCGCGAUUGAAUGAGCCGAUGUCGGAUUAGCUAGUUGGCGGGGUAAAGGCCCACCAAGGCGACGAUCCGUAGCUGGUCUGAGAGGAUGAUCCGCCACACUGGAACUGAGACACGGUCCAGACUCCUACGGGAGGCAGCAGUGGGGAAUAUUGGACAAUGGGCGCAAGCCUGAUCCAGCCAUACCGCGUGGGUGAAGAAGGCCUUCGGGUUGUAAAGCCCUUUUGUUGGGAAAGAAAAGCAGCAGGUUAAUACCCCGCUGUUCUGACGGUACCCAAAGAAUAAGCAACGGCUAACUUCGUG
rnacentral:rRNA from 1 species